rnacentral:rRNA from 1 species
AUUGAACGCUAGCGGGAUGCCUUACACAUGCAAGUCGAACGGAGUGGCGAACGGGUGCGUAAUGUAACUGACCGUGCCCCGUAGCGGGGGAUAACUACGCGAACGCGUAGCUGAUACCGCAUACUCUUGCAACGGCCGAUAUCGGAUUGGCUAGUUGGUGGGGUAACGGCUCACCAAGGCGACGAUCCGUAGCUGGUUUGAGAGGACGACCAGCCCCACUGGGACUGAGACACGGUCCAGACUCCUACGGGAGGCAGCAGUGGGGAAUGUUGGACAAUGGGGGAAACCCUGAUCCAGCCAUCCCGCGUGUGCGAAGAAGGCCUUCGGGUUGUAAAGCACUUUUGGCAGGGAAGCGUUACUUGCAGAAUAAGCACCGGCUAACUACGUGCCAGCCGCCGCGGUAAUUC